rnacentral:rRNA from 1 species
UAUGUGAUCGUCUCUCGCAUAUCAAUAAGCGGAGGAAAAGAAACUAACAAGGAUUCCCUUAGUAACGGCGAGUGAAGCGGGAAGAGCUCAAAUUUGAAAUCUUCAAGGUUUUACCUUGACGAAUUGUAGUUUAAAGAAGUGUUUUCUGUUGAAGUUUUGGUGAAAGUUCUUUGGAAUAGGACAUCAUAGAGGGUGAGAAUCCCGUAUUUGACCAUUAUUUUCAGCUGUGUGAUACACUUUCAAAGAGUCGGAUUGUUUGGGAAUGCAGUCCAAAAUGGGUGGUAAAUUUCAUCUAAAGCUAGAUAUUGGCGAGAGACCGAUAGCGAACAAGUACCGUGAGGGAAAGAUGAAAAGAACUUUGAAAAGAGAGUUAAACAGUACGUGAAAUUGUCAAAAGGGAAGCGUUUGACACCAGUGUUGUUUUCUCGAAAAUCAAUUAAAAAGAGUUAGAUUUUGUUGUGUAUUGACCUUAACAGCUUGCAUUUCAAUUUUCUUGCUUUUUUUAAUGCACUUUUCGUUUAACAAGUCAACAUCAGUUUCUUUUGUUGUAAAAAGGUCAUUGGAAGGUGGCUUUCUUUUCGGAGAAAGUGUUUAUAGCCUUUGACUCCUGCAAUCGGAGAGACUGAGGUCUGCAGCGUAGAUCCUUCGGGGUUAGAUACAUUUGUGCUAAGUUAUAGCUUUUUAUAGACAACUUGUUGACUAUGAUUAGUCUUGUAGCUUACUCGCUUAUGCUAUUUUACCUACGCUUAGGAUGUUGAAGAUGUAGCACAUCAU